CUGCGCCAACUGCGUGAGCACGGCCCUUCGGGCCCCCGGCCGGGACUGACGGACGGGCGGGCGCGUGCGUGGGGUUCGGUGGGGGGAGGACGGCAGGGACGGCGGGCCGCCGGUUUCGGUGGGGAGUGGGCUGUUAGUUCAGCCCCGCGCGCGGGCCGCCGAGGUGGCUGCCGAGGUGGCCGCUGCGGGGGCGCGCUAGGGUUCGCGCGCCUCACCCGCCGUGCCGCCAGGUAGUCCCGGGCUGCACCGGCGAGAGGAGGAGCCUCGGCGGCAGAGCUCCGCUUCGUCUCCGCCGCAAUCUCGGCCCGGCUUGGCCGGCGCUCGCCCUAAGGGAGUUGCAGUUCGAGCUUUGAUGGCCGAUAUGCAGGACCACAGCAUGUUUGGGGAAGGAACCAGGAAGUGCUGGCUGCUGUCAUCCUCCGCCAGGUUCUGACCCUCCCCGAGUCCUAUGCCUCUGGCUGCACGUCCCUCUUCCCCGCAGGGUCGGGCUGCCGUCGGGUUCCCUCCGCCCCCACCCCCGCAGAGCCCGAGCUACCCAGAGCGGCGUCACGAACCCUGCUAGUCCCUGAGGGCGUCUGGCGAUAAGAUCACUGCUUCCACAUAGUGCUUCUGGGAAUCACCUAAGUCAUACUUCAGUUCCUGAAUCUCACUCAUUUGGAGGAUCCAGUUUAAUAUUGGUGCAUUUCCUUCUUGUGCAUAAACACUGAUUUAGAAUGAACAAAUUUAAUAGGCACUGGCAGAAAUAUUUCAGUCUGUAUAUCAUGCACCUUGUGUUUCUUAAAUACCUAUUAUGCACACACAAGAAAUUUUCUUCUCUUGAGAUAUUAUUGGUUGUUUUUCAUAUUUACAAAAGUAAAUAAAAGAAUCCAUUUGCAAAUAUUUUUA